UACGUAGGGUGCAAGCGUCAAUCGGAAUUACUGGGCGUAAAGCGUGCGCAGGCGGUUUUGUAAGUCUGACGUGAAAUCCCCGGGCUCAACCUGGGAAUUGCGUUGGAGACUGCAAGGCUAGAAUCUGGCAGAGGGGGGUAGAAUUCCACGUGUAGCAGUGAAAUGCGUAGAGAUGUGGAGGAACACCGAUGGCGAAGGCAGCCCCCUGGGUCAAGAUUGACGCUCAUGCACGAAAGCGUGGGGAGCAAACAGG
rnacentral:rRNA from 1 species